rnacentral:rRNA from 1 species
UACGAAGGGGCUAGCGUUGUUCGGAAUUACUGGGCGUAAAGCGCACGUAGGCGGAUAUUUAAGUCAGGGGUGAAAUCCCAGAGCUCAACUCUGGAACUGCCUUUGAUACUGGGUAUCUUGAGUAUGGAAGAGGUAAGUGGAAUUGCGAGUGUAGAGGUGAAAUUCGUAGAUAUUCGCAGGAACACCAGUGGCGAAGGCGGCUUACUGGUCCAUAACUGACGCUGAGGAGGCGAAAAGCGUGGGGAGCGAACAGGG